UGAAUUAAAAAAGUCCAUGUAUUGAAUGGAAAUGAAUUGAAUUGGAUUUUAGUUAGCAUAGCAUUUAUGGAAAGUUGAAAACAAUCAAUAUCCAUGCCUUAUAUAAGUGCCUCUUUAUGCAAACUCUCCCAAUUAAUCAAUUAUAUCAACUGAUAUUGUCAUCUGCAAAGUAAAAUUGUGAUCGAUGGCGAAAUCAACUUUUCUUCUUGUGGUGGUUUCAUUUGGUCUCCUCUUUGCUUGUGUCAUUGAAGCUACUGAGAAGAACUUUCAAGAUGAGACCAACCAUUUACUCUGGCCUAGAAAACUGCUUAGAGGACCAGCUGAUCCACCACCACGAGGUCCACAUAAGGCAGCCAUAGUCGGCGUAAAGCCAUGGUCACCAUCACAACGCCUAGUUUUUGGAAUGUUACCAAAAAAUGUUCCUAUUCCGCCAUCAGGACCUAGUCCAAAUCCGCCAUCAAGAACCGUGAAAUACAUUUAGAAAUGCGAGAAGGUCAGAAGUUUGGAGAAAAUAACAAAUAAAAGUUGUUGAGGCCUGACGGAUGGUCAAAGGGAGAAGCAGAAACAGCGGCGUUAAACGAGAAGAUUCUGACUGCUCAAUUUAAAUUUCCAAAAGAUCUUCCUAUUUUUAUACUCUAUUACUAUUAAAGUUAAAUAAUAAUCUGUUGUUGACAAAAAAAGUUCUGCUAGUGUUUCCCUUCAUUAUAAAACAAUUACUUAACUUAAUUCAUAUAAUUCUACAUGUAGUGAUUAAAAUAGGUAAUUAGAAAUUGAGGAUCCAAGUAUCCAACUGUGACGUGGUCCCGCAAUCUUCCCUCAUUUGGUACCUAGUCGAACCUUGCAUCUCCUCGAAAACCCAAAUCUCUUCUUCUUCUUUCUUUUACAGUUACAUUUUCCAUUUCCAAAAUGGUUUUUCUACUUUGUCGUCUUCUUGUCAGAAUCUUUGGCUGUCUUUGUCAAACUACAGCUCUCGUCAAAACUUAGUUUGACCCGACUUUUUUUUUGUAACCAGUCUGACCCGACUUUUCUCCUUUAACUUCUUACCUUUGGAUUUUAUAUAUACAUCUUACGUUGAAUAUAAAAUAGUGUUCAACAAAAGUAAUACCUCCACAUGUAUAUGAACUUUACAUACACCGUAAUCCAAUUUGGUCAACUGAAGGAUAUAUAGUAACAAAUAACAAUAGCCAUUUUUAACUUGCUAAACUGAUUUACAUUUGAUAAAUUUACGAAAAUGUUGUAUGGCCAAAUUAUACAAUUACUCCAUUUGAUUCGGACUAGCUGCCUGUUUAUAUUUGACAUUGACAUAGGGUCUGCAUACCAAUAAUAUCAUUAUUAUUAGUUUUUGUUUUGAAUUUCAAAGUAUUGUUCCCCCUACUAAAAAGUUGAUAACAUAACAUGUAACACAACAUUAGUUAGCUAGAAAUUGGUGGGAAACCCUUUAUUAAAUAGGCUUGGAAAAUAAAAAUAUUAAGAAGCUUAUAGUGUUAGCUGUCCUAAACCAAAUCUGGAAAUUAACAAUGCGAAUAUGUUUUUUUUAAAGAGUUAUUCUUGGGUUCACCCUCUAGGGUGAACUUCUAGGUUCACCAACCAAUAAAAUUUUAUUAUUUCAAAUUCGAUAUUUUUUAGAAAAGGAAAUAAAAUAUUGUCAAGUUAUAUUAUGCUUUUA